rnacentral:hammerhead_ribozyme from 1 species
GUCUAGGUGACGAGUCGUAAACAAGACGAAAUGUGCAUCCUGGAU